CAGUCGCCGCGGUAAUACGAAGGGUGCAAGCGUUAAUCGGAAUUACUGGGCGUAAAGCGUGCGUAGGCGGUUUGUUAAGUCUGUUGUGAAAUCCCCGGGCUCAACCUGGGAAUGGCAAUGGAUACUGGCAAGCUAGAGUGUGUCAGAGGAUGGUGGAAUUCCCGGUGUAGCGGUGAAAUGCAUAGAGAUCGGGAGGAACAUCAGUGGCGGAGGCGGCCAUCUGGGACAACACUGACGCUGAGGCACGAAAGCGUGGGGAGCAAACAGGAUUAGAUACCCCAGUAGUCCCUGUCUCUUAUAC
rnacentral:rRNA from 1 species